UCAAGCGAACAAGUGCAUGUGGUGGAUGCCUUGGCGAUCACAGGCGAUGAAGGACGCGGUAGCCUGCGAAAAGCUACGGGGAGCUGGCAAACGAGCUUUGAUCCGUAGAUGUCCGAAUGGGGAAACCCGGCCCUUUUGGGUCAUCCUAGACUGAAUACAUAGGUCUAGUGAAGCGAACGCGGUGAACUGAAACAUCUAAGUAACCGCAGGAAAAGAAAUCAACCGAGAUUCCCAAAGUAGUGGCGAGCGAAAUGGGAAGAGCCUGUACUCUUUAUUUGUAUUGUUAGCCGAACGCUCUGGAAAGUGCGGCCAUAGCAGGUGAUAGCCCUGUAGGCGAAAACAGUAUGAAAGAACUAGGUGUACGACAAGUAGGGCGGGACACGUGAAAUCCUGUCUGAAGAUGGGGGGACCAUCCUCCAAGGCUAAAUACUCGUGAUCGACCGAUAGUGAACCAGUACCGUGAGGGAAAGGCGAAAAGAACCCCGGGAGGGGAGUGAAAUAGAUCCUGAAACCGCAUGCAUACAAACAGUCGGAGCCUCUUCGGGGGUGACGGCGUACCUUUUGUAUAAUGGGUCAGCGACUUACGUUCAGUAGCAAGCUUAACCGAAUAGGGCAGGCGUAGCGAAAGCGAGUCCGAAUAGGGCGUUCAGUUGCUGGGCGUAGACCCGAAACCAGGUGAUCUAUCCAUGGCCAGGAUGAAGGUGCGGUAACACGUACUGGAGGUCCGAACCCACUAACGUUGAAAAGUUAGGGGAUGAGCUGUGGAUAGGGGUGAAAGGCUAAACAAACCUGGAAAUAGCUGGUUCUCUCCGAAAACUAUUUAGGUAGUGCCUCGUGUCUCACCUUCGGGGGUAGAGCACUGUCAUGGUUGGGGGGUCUAUUGCAGAUUACCCCGCCAUAGCAAACUCCGAAUACCGAAGAGUGCAAUCACGGGAGACAGACAUCGGGUGCUAACGUCCGGUGUCAAGAGGGAAACAACCCAGACCGCCAGCUAAGGUCCCCAAAUAUGGCUAAGUGGGAAACGAAGUGGGAAGGCUAAAACAGUCAGGAGGUUGGCUUAGAAGCAGCCACCCUUUAAAGAAAGCGUAAUAGCUCACUGAUCGAGUCGUCCUGCGCGGAAGAUGUAACGGGGCUAAGCCAUAUACCGAAGCUGCGGAUGCGAGCUAGUCUCGCAUGGUAGGAGAGCGUUCCGUAAGCCUGCGAAGGUGCGUUGAAAAGCGUGCUGGAGGUAUCGGAAGUGCGAAUGCUGACAUGAGUAGCGAUAAAGGGGGUGAAAGGCCCCCUCGCCGUAAGCCCAAGGUUUCCUACGCAACGUUCAUCGGCGUAGGGUGAGUCGGCCCCUAAGGCGAGGCAGAAAUGCGUAGCUGAUGGGAAGCAGGUCAAUAUUCCUGCACCAUUGUUAGAUGCGAUGGGGGGACGGAUCGCGGAAGGUUGUCCGGGUGUUGGAAGUCCCGGUCGCUGCAUUGGAGAAGGCGCUUAGGCAAAUCCGGGCGCAGGAUUCAAGGGUGUGGCGCGAGCGCUCUAGGGCGCGAAGCAAUUGGAAGUGGUUCCAAGAAAAGCCUCUAAGCUUCAGUCUAACGAUGACCGUACCGCAAACCGACACAGGUGGGCGAGAUGAGUAUUCUAAGGCGCUUGAGAGAACUCGGGAGAAGGAACUCGGCAAAUUGGUACCGUAACUUCGGGAUAAGGUACGCCCUGGUAGCUUGACUGGCCUGCGCCAGAAGGGUGAAGGGGUUGCAAUAAACUGGUGGCUGCGACUGUUUAAUAAAAACACAGCACUCUGCAAACACGAAAGUGGACGUAUAGGGUGUGACGCCUGCCCGGUGCCGGAAGAUUAAAUGAUGGGGUGCAAGCUCUUGAUUGAAGUCCCGGUAAACGGCGGCCGUAACUAUAACGGUCCUAAGGUAGCGAAAUUCCUUGUCGGGUAAGUUCCGACCUGCACGAAUGGCGUAACGAUGGCCACACUGUCUCCUCCCGAGACUCAGCGAAGUUGAAGUGUUUGUGAUGAUGCAAUCUACCCGCGGCUAGACGGAAAGACCCCAUGAACCUUUACUGUAGCUUUGCAUUGGACUUUGAACCGAUCUGUGUAGGAUAGGUGGGAGGCUAUGAAACCGGAACGCUAGUUUCGGUGGAGCCGUCCUUGAAAUACCACCCUGGUUUGUUUGAGGUUCUAACCUUGGCCCGUGAUCCGGGUCGGGGACAGUGCAUGGUAGGCAGUUUGACUGGGGCGGUCUCCUCCCAAAGCGUAACGGAGGAGUACGAAGGUACGCUAGGUACGGUCGGAAAUCGUGCUGAUAGUGCAAUGGCAUAAGCGUGCUUAACUGCGAGACCGACAAGUCGAGCAGGUGCGAAAGCAGGUCAUAGUGAUCCGGUGGUUCUGUAUGGAAGGGCCAUCGCUCAACGGAUAAAAGGUACUCUGGGGAUAACAGGCUGAUACCGCCCAAGAGUUCAUAUCGACGGCGGUGUUUGGCACCUCGAUGUCGGCUCAUCUCAUCCUGGGGCUGUAGCCGGUCCCAAGGGUAUGGCUGUUCGCCAUUUAAAGAGGUACGUGAGCUGGGUUUAAAACGUCGUGAGACAGUUUGGUCCCUAUCUGCCGUGGGCGUUGGAAGUUUGAAGGGGGCUGCUCCUAGUACGAGAGGACCGGAGUGGACGAACCUCUGGUGUACCGGUUGUGACGCCAGUCGCAUCGCCGGGUAGCUAUGUUCGGAAGAGAUAACCGCUGAAAGCAUCUAAGCGGGAAACUCGCCUUAAGAUGAGACUUCCCCGGGGACUUGAUCCCCUUGAAGGGUCGUUCGAGACCAGGACGUUGAUAGGUCGGGUGUGUAAGCGCAGUAAUGCGUUCAGCUAACCGAUACUAAUUGCCCGUACGGCUUGAUCCU
rnacentral:rRNA from 1 species